UUAGAUACAAGAGGGCUGCUGCCUGCUGCUAGGCGCUUGUCAACAUAUUUAUAUUGUUAUUGAUAACCCAUCUAUCAAUCUUUUGAGUUUCUUUCAUGUUUGAAUCUUGGAUGGUCCAUUAACUCAUACAUGCAGGGCAGGAAUUUUCGCAUGUGCACUGUUAAUAGUACCUUGUCUCGGAUGAACUUUAAGCAAUGACUAAUACCUAUAUUCCUUAUCGAUGAAAUGCAUGAUAUCGUAAACCCUGAGAAUUUCGUAUUCAACGCUCAAUAAGAGAACCUGGAGCUUUUCAUCACUGAAGGAGCUGUAGUCCACAAGACGGAACUGGAUGGGUUGAUUUAUAGACAAUUAUAGGUACUGACAAUGCACAUUUCUGCUGUCUCUUUCAUGUUUAAAUCUUGGAUGGUCCAUCAACUCAUACAGGCAUGGCAGGAAUUUUCGCAUGUGCAUUGUCAGUACCUAUAAUUCUUUAUAAAUCAACCCAGUUCCGUCUUGUGGACUACAGCUCCUUCAGUGAUGAAAAGCUUGAGGAUCUCUUAUUGAGCAUUGAAUAUGAAAUUCUCAGGGUUUGCAAUAUCAUGCAUUUCAUCGAUAAGGAAUAUAGGUAUUAGUCAUUGCUUAAAGUUCAUCCGAGACAAGGUACUAUUGACAAUGCACAUGCGAGAAUUCCUGCCCUGCAUGUAUGAGUUGAUGGACCAUCCAAGAUUCAAACAUGAAAAAGCCUCAAAGAUUCCUAAAUGGGUUAUCAACAUAUAAACUCCAAUACUGAUAACAUCCCAUAAGCUAUAUUGCAACUUUUGAUGCAAAGAGAGAAAGCAAUAUCAGUCAUAGUGUAAAUUUGGUAUAAGUGUAACCUUUGUUAGAAAACUGCACUAUGCACAUGAAUGACACUCUCAUAUGUUAUUGGCUAACUUCUUUGGUCAUUCAUGUUUUAGUAGAGUAGGACUCUUUCUUCAAAAUCAUUGGAGGAUCAUAUGAAAAGUAAGGUUAAAUGUACCACAGAAGCCAUCUACUAGCAAUUCAGAUAGUCAGUUGGUUUUAGAAGACUUCUAGGACUCCAUAUAUUUACAUAUUGCUUAUAAGAUCUGAGCCGAAAUGUGUUAAUGAAAUAGAAUUGCCUCGUUUUUCCACUCCACAUAAGGCUAGGAGGUUUAUCAGUUUGUGUAAGGGGAAAAUUGUGCAGCAGUCAAAGAAGAUCAGAAUUCUCAAUAUGAUGUUCAAUAGCAAAACAGAAGAUUAAAAAUCAAUAAUUUUUUAUUGUGACUGAUAUUCUUAAUCUGUUAUUGUGAUUAUUAUAAACAUGAUCUUUUUUCGUAAGGUUUACUUUAAAAAUAAUAGUUGUAUAAAAUAUUAAUAAAUAAAGUUAGAUUCAUAAAAUUUUA